GAAAAGGCUGAAGAGACUUUGAGAUCACAAAAGCAGGAGCCCGCCUCUGUUCCGUCCAAGCCAGAAGAAACUGGCGAUCCUCCUACUGUGGGUAAUGGCAAGCUACCAAUUGCCACCGGCCAGAUUCUAACAAGAGUACCUGUAAAACCUUCAUUAUCUAGUACAAUACCAGCAAAGAGAGAUGAGAAAGACUUCAAUUAUACUAAAGUUGCUGCCGCAGCAGGGCCUCCUUUGGAUCCUGGGAGCAAAAACAUACCAUUGCUGAAAAGGGUUCCGCCAAAAUUGGACUGGGCCAUGUCACCACAAGUGUCAGUACCUGUUGAUAAAAGGUGGCCAAAUGGAGGAUCAAAUCCUUCUGUUUCCUAUUCUUUGGCAUCUUCUUUGCAGGCAUCACCUCCACCGCCCAAGACAGAAGCUCGUUAUGUGGCUGUUGGAAAUGAAUUGAAGAAUCUACAGAU
rnacentral:lncRNA from 1 species